UCGAGGAUCUUCGGCAAUGGGCGCAAGCCUGACCGAGCGACGCCGCGUGUGCGAUGAAGGCCUUCGGGUUGUAAAGCACUGUCGAGGGGGAGGAAAGCCCGCAAGGGUCUGACCUAUCCCUGGAGGAAGCACGGGCUAAGUUCGUGCCAGCAGCCGCGGUAAGACGAACCGUGCGAACGUUGUUCGGAAUCACUGGGCUUAAAGGGCGCGUAGGCGGGUCAGCAAGUCCGGGGUGAAAUCUUUCGGCUUAACCGGAAAAGUGCCUUGGAUACUGCUGGUCUGGAGUGAGGUAGGGGCCGCGGGAACUUCCGGUGGAGCGGUGAAAUGCGUUGAUAUCGGAAGGAACGCCGGUGGCGAAAGCGCGCGGCUGGCCCUCAACUGACGCUGAGGCGCGAAAGCUAGGGGAGCAAACGGGAUUAGAUACCCCCGUAGUCC
rnacentral:rRNA from 1 species